GUGGGGGGGCAUUGAGGCAGUUGGUUAAACCAAAAAAAAGAGAGAGAAAAAAAUCACUGCAACGAUGCAACGGAGGCGACUCGAAGCCCUUGCACGGAGUUGGAGAGGCAAAAUUAAUGUACAUUGCAUGCACUCCACGUAACGCUCCUGAGCGAUGCCUUUGUGAGUGUUUUUUUCUUACUGCGAGCUAAAAAUAGCAUCAGUGUUUGAUCGCGCUCCAGAAAUAGGCAGAGGGGGUAACACUUGUAUAAAAAGGACUGCAAUUCUGAGAAACCUUGGACGUGUUGCUGAGCCAGGGCUCGCUGCACCGUGUAAUUGGACAGAAACCUUGAGAAGUUUCUUCACUGCCACUGAAAGAUGCCAGAUCUUCUCAGGCCACCCGGCACCUCGCUUGUGCUCCUCCAUCCACAUUAUUCUCACCAGCCUCUAUGGACAGACCUUGGAGCCUGAGGAGCCACAAGUUUUCUGCUUCCACAUAAUGGU